rnacentral:rRNA from 1 species
GCGAGUCAUUGUAGCAAUACAAGGCAGACGGCUCAGUAACGCGUAGUCAACCUACCCUAUGGACGGGGAUAACCUCGGGAAACUGAGAAUAAUACCCGAUAGAACAUUAUGCCUGGAAUGGUUUAUGUUUCAAAUAAUUUAUUGCCGUAGGAUGGGACUGCGGCCUAUCAGUUUGUUGGUAAGGUAAUGGCCCACCAAGACUAUUACAGGUACGGGCUCUGAGAGGAGUGGCCCGGAGAUGGGUACUGAGACACGGACCCAGGCCCUAUGGGGCGCAGCAGGCGAGAAGACUUUGCAAUGUGCGAAAGCACGACAAGGUUAAUCCGAGUGGUUUCUGCUAAAGGAACCUUUUGACAGUCCUAGAAACACUGUUGAAUAAGGGGUGGGCAAGUUCUGGUGUCAGCCGCCGCGGUAAAACCAGCACCUCAAGUGGUCAGGAUGAUUAUUGGGCCUAAAGCAUCCGUAGCCGGCUCUGUAAGUUUUCGGUUAAAUCUGUACGCUUAACGUACAGGCUGCUGGGAAUACUGCAGAGCUAGGGAGUGGGAGAGGUAGACGGUACUCGGGAGGAAGUGGUAAAAUGCUUUGAUCUCUCGAUGACCACCUGUGGCGAAGGCGGUCUACCAGAACACGUCCGACGGUGAGGGAUGAAAGCUGGGGGAGCAAACCGGAUUAGAUACCCGGGUAGUCCCAGCUGUAAACUAUGCAAACUCAGUGAUGCACUGGCUUGUGGCCAGUGCAGUGUUGC